GUGCCGCUCUGGGGCCUCAGUUUCCCUGCCACAUGGAGUGGGCUGGUGGCCUCAGACCUUGGUGGCGUCUUGAGUGACGGCUGCGGGUGGUGCAGGGCCAAGUCCUGGCCAGAAACCUUGCUGGACGCCCCUGGGGAGAAUGCAGGGGGGUCCAGCUGGUUGCCAGGGAAACCCGUGCCAACAAACACUCCCCUCCUUUACUGUGGGGGCGCGAUGACCUCAUCUGCCCACCCUCCGCUCGGCUGGCUAGAGGUUUGGAGGAUCAGGGAUGCAUUGGUCAGCGCCUGGUCCCCGGCGGUGUCCACCCCUGACACACCCUAGCGGGGACGCACCCAGCUCAAGGCCACAGGGGAGUGUGGACAGAGGCAGAGGGGCCUGGGCAGCACCCACCCUGACAGUCACCUCCGUCACCCCUCUGCCACAGUCCUCACAUGGCCUCUGUGACCGCACUGGUGGUGGCGAUGGCAGUCCCUCAGAUGACAAGACACUGACCAAGGGGACUCCUACAGCGGAGAAACGGAUUCUUUUCAGGGAACGAAGAUAAACGAGUGGUGUAAAAUGAAACAAAC
rnacentral:lncRNA from 1 species